UGGUUCUGGCAUCGAUGAAGAACGCGGCGAAAUGCGAUAAGUAAUGUGAAUUGCAGAAUUCAGUGAAUCAUCGAAUCUUUGAACGCACAUUGCGCCCGCCGGCAUUCCGGCGGGCAUGCCUGUUCGAGCGUCAUUUCAACCCUCAGGCACCGCCUGGUGUUGGGACAUCACCGCUUGGUGGGCCCCCAAAUUUAGCGGCGAGCGUCCCCUGGACCCGAGCGUAGUAGCACAUCUCGCUUAGGGCGCCGGGAGCGGUUCCAGCCGUAAAACCCCAUCUCUAGAAGGUUGACCUCGGAUCAGGUAGGAAUACCCGCUGA
rnacentral:misc_RNA from 1 species